UACGUAGGCAGCGAGCGUUGUUCGGAGUUACUGGGCGUAAAGGGUGUGUAGGCGGUCCGCUAAGUUCGGCGUGAAAUCCCCUGGCUCAACUGGGGAACUGCGCUGGAUACUGGUGGACUUGAGUACCGGAGAGGAGAGUGGAAUUCCUGGUGUAGCGGUGAAAUGCGUAGAUAUCAGGAGGAACACCGGUGGCGAAGGCGGCUCUCUGGACGGAUACUGACGCUGAGGCGCGAAAGCGUGGGGAUCAAACAGG
rnacentral:rRNA from 1 species